GCGCCCGUAGCUCAAUUCGUAGAGCCGUGGAACGGUGAUCCACAGUCCCGGGAUCAAGUCCCGGCGGUCGCU